UUACGGCCAUAUCACGUUGAAGCACCGGUUCUGAUACGAUCACAGAAGUUAAGCAACGUUGCGGCUAGUUAUUAUCGAGAUUGGUAACUGCUUGGAAUACCGAAUGCUGUAUG